CCUACGGGAGGCAGCAGUAGGGAAUAUUGCUCAAUGGGGGAAACCCUGAAGCAGCAACGCCGCGUGGAGGAUGAAGGUUUUCGGAUUGUAAACUCCUUUUGUUAGAGAAGAUAAUGACGGUAUCUAACGAAUAAGCACCUGCUAACUCCGUGCCAGCAGCCGCGGUAAUACGGAGGGUGCAAGCGUUACUCGGAAUCACUGGGCGUAAAGAGCGCGUAGGUGGGAUAGCAAGUCAGAUGUGAAAUCCUAUGGCUUAACCAUAGAACUGAAUUUGAAACUGUUAUUCUAGAGUAUGGGAGAGGUAGGUGGAAUUCUUGGUGUAGGGGUAAAAUCCGUAGAGAUCAAGAGGAAUACUCAUUGCGAAGGCGACCUACUAGAACAUAACUGACGCUGAUGCGCGAAAGCGUGGGGAGCAAACAGGAUUAGAUACCCGUGUAGUC
rnacentral:rRNA from 1 species